AAAGGGUGGAAAAGCCCACCUGCUACAAGUCUGUCUUCAGCAACAUUUACUCAACGUGUAAGUGGAGGGUUGGGGUGUCACGCAUUUGCCUUGCUACAAGGCAUCCAUUCGGUGAUUAAGCGACAUGUCUCCUCUUGGUUUUACCCUAAUUAGCUCAAAUCAAAAUGCUUGAAGUGUUGUCAGCUGUUACCUUUCUUCACAAAGAAUCAAGAAAGAUGCCACAAAAUACUUGUUUCUUAUGUCUCAAUUUGCACAUCACACGGCUAGUUGCUUUGCUUCUUUGCACAUAAUCACAGGCCAUAAUAGAACAAUGAGUCACUGACGGAAAAAUAAGCUUUUGAUUUGUUGUAAAUGCUUGGAACAAGAGUUAAGAUGCCUGGUCGUCUGGAGGAAACUUAUGCACAUAGGCUCAGAUAAGAUAGAGAACAGAGGCAUAAACAGUGGAAAUGCAACUUUGGCAGCAAGACAAUGAAGGUAAAUGCAGGCUACUAGUACAUGCACGUGAGAUCAAAGAGGUAACUACUAGAGUGUCUGCCAUUGUGGCGCACCUCCAGCGGUAAGUUGUCACACAUGCAGUGCUGCCUUACUAUUUAAGCAAACACAGUGUUGUUUGUUGUGGAGGAUGACCCAAAGGGUGAUCCACCUUGCCGUUAUAAAUUUCACCACCAUUCUUCAUUGCUACAAUCUGCAAGUACUACAAUCAACCCAAAAAAAUCCAAUAUGCACUUGCUGAAAGAGCUAAUGGAAAUAGGCUACUUGUAAUUUGUAUACAAGAGUGAGUUUCUGGAUUAUACACUACCUGUUUCUGUAGCAGUUGGUUUUCCUCUUUCAGCAUCUUUUCCUGUUGAGAGCAAAAGGCAUUCUUCAGAAAAAUUAAAGGUACGUAUUUAUGUUUUACCAAAUAAAUAAAUAAAAAAGAAAGAAAUCUGCUUCUGAUAUUACUUCAUUCAUGAUGAAUUGCAAACAAGCAUACAGCAGCACCUGAGCACACGGCACCAAAGAAAACAGCAGAAAGCAGGCAUGGUUUUUUUUUUCUCCCUAUUGUGGCCUGCGUUGUAUUAAUAAUUACUGGCUGUCCUCCUUUGUGACGUUUACUUUAGUAUAUUUCUUUCUUUUAUUCAAAUUAAUCCAUCAGUUUAGACC